rfam:Ancylostoma ceylanicum strain HY135 Acey_s0018_scaf, whole genome shotgun sequence.
GUUCAUUCCUGAACAUAUACUAAAAGUGGAACAAUACAGAGAAGAUUAGCAUGGUCCCUGCGCAAGGAUGACACGCAAAAUAAGUGUCGGUAGACGCAUUGAU